rnacentral:lncRNA from 1 species
CUAUUGGUCUAUGUAAUGCUGGUGCCAAACAAUAAGAAAAACCAACAAAACACUGACCUUGGUCCACAGACAACACCCACGUCCACGUGGUGGGUGGGACUGGCUCCGUCAGAGGAUGGGAAGAUGAGAAGUGCUUGUCGCAGGCCUGGAGAUGGGGACCACCCAGGCAUGCAGGGGAUGCUGCCUCUCCUCCAUCCAACAACAAGCCUGCGUGUGCCCAGCCCCCUCUGGUACACGCAUUGCUCCCCAUCCUCGGCAUUGAUCAAUUGAAAAUAAGACCUUGGAAGAACCCCUUGCAAAGCUGACAUUGUACGAGCCAAGGCAGGGUCAGGGGGAAGACAGGGGAUCCCGAAGAUAACGUCUGCUACGAACUCAAUUGCAUCCGCCCCGGGCCCUAAGUUGAAGCCCUAAUCCCCACGUUGACUGCAUUUGGAGAAGGACCUUCAGCACAUGAUGGAGGGUAAGUGAGGUCACCAGGCUGGGGCCCUCAUCUGCUGGGGAUCCUUCUAAGAAGCAGAAGAGGCACCGGGGUGAGUGAGCACCGAGGAAAGCCAGGCGGGCAUGCAGCCAGGGGCGGCCAUCUGCAGCCGGGAGGAGAUCCUUCCCCAGGAACCAGCCCUGCCCACACCUCGACCCCCAGCUUCCAGUUGCCAGGGCUGUGUCGAAAGGCCCUUGUGUGGUUGAAGCCGCCCAGUCUUCGGCAUUUUGUUAUGGCAGCUCCAGAAGACGAAGCCCGUUCUCUAUCCCUGACUUGAAGGUCCCUCACUCAGAUUCUCUAAUCAGUUUGGAUGAUGAAUUACUCACUCCCAACCUGGGAUUCAGGCCACACUGUUCAGAUGACCUGGGUUUGAAGAAAGGGAUGUCCUCAAAGCCGUACGACCUGGGUGGUGUGAGCAUCAAGGGGGGCUUCCCUGCCAUGAAACACAGCAGUCACCCCUCUGCCUUGAAGGCAGCACCCUGCAGAUGCACCUGCCCCAGCUUCAGCACCAGCCAGGGCUGGAUUUGCAUCCUGCCUCUUCUACUGUAACAUUUGAAAACAUGGCUUUCCCCU